GGAAACAAACUGUACUACUUUGUGCCCAUUACUGUCACAGAAAGUAUGUUGACAGUGCCUCGAAGCCAACUAGGUUCCUGAUUUGUUUUUCUGGUAAUGGUGAAUUGAGAAAGCAAUCCAUGGGUCUCCCCCUUUCUGUUUGAAUAUACAAUACUUUCUUCAUUGUGGUAAGUCACAUGAUUUUUAAAAUGCUGCUACAUUUAAAGUACAAGGAGACCCUCAGAAAUAGAGCAAGAAAGGGAUGGAGGGUAACAAUAUCUGCAAUUAUCAAAGCUACAAGUACAGGUGUCCGAUGUUACGAUAAAAAGAGUGAGGUAGCAUUCACCAGAUGUCCUCACCUUUGUGAGUCAGUCCUUUGGCGUCUCUAUCCACCCUGACAGAGAACAGGCAAAAUUUUGUCACAUUUACUGUAGUGCAUCCUGAAAGUGGCUGUCUCUGUGGAACUGUGGAAACCCCAGUUUUGCCAAUGGCCAUGGAUCAUACAAUGACUUGAGUGACAGAAAGAGAGUAGGGGUGUCAGAGAGAGAGAGAGAGAGAGAGAGAGAGAGAGUGAGUUUUAUUGACACCAAAAGAGAAAGCUUUUCUUUGGAUUCCAUGGGAUUUGUGAGGCAUCUCGUUUUAGCAUAUCCAGGUGGGCACCUGGCUACCUCACUCAUUAAUGAACUCUCCU
rnacentral:lncRNA from 1 species